AUGUUACUUGUGGACCUCCGUUUGCGGUGUGGUUGUAUCGUGGUUGUGGCUUCAUUUGUAAAACAGGGAAAGAUGUCUUUUUUGGUAAGCUUCUUUGUUGAUGCAUGUAAAAUUCAAAUCGAGAAUCUUUGGUUGUUACAUAGUUGCAUGAAAUCUAUGUUUGGAUUAUUGUGUGCAUCAAUGCCAAAAUUACGAAGUCAUUUUGGUGUUUGUUUGUACUAUGUGCUAACUAAUCUGCCCCAUGUAUCUGUUUUCUUGAACCGGAGAAUUGACUUCGGUUUUUAUCCUGAGCCUCUAGGUGUCGGCGCUACUUAUUACUGGUUUUUAUCCAGGUCUUAUUUUUUUGCGAGAGAUUAUCUGGUGGCCUUAUUAAUAAUGAUGGUUGCAGCUUUAUUUAUAAAGCGGGGCAAGAUAACUUUUUUGGUAAGCUUCUUUGUUGAUGCAUGUAAAAUAUAA
rnacentral:rRNA from 1 species